rnacentral:rRNA from 1 species
GGGGAAUAUUGGACAAUGGGGGCAACCCUGAUCCAGCAAUGCCGCGUGUGUGAAGAAGGUCUUCGGAUUGUAAAGCACUUUCGACGGGGACGAUGAUGACGGUACCCGUAGAAGAAGCCCCGGCUAACUUCGUGCCAGCAGCCGCGGUAAUACGAAGGGGGCUAGCGUUGCUCGGAAUGACUGGGCGUAAAGGGCGUGUAGGCGGUUUACACAGUCAGAUGUGAAAUCCCCCGGGCUUAACCUGGGAGCUGCAUUUGAUACGUGUAGACUAGAGUGUGAGAGAGGGUUUGUGGAAUUCCCAGUGUAGAGGUGAAAUUCGU